AUUGAACGCUGGCGGCAGGCCUAACACAUGCAAGUCGAGCGGAUGAAGGGAGCUUGCCACUGGAUGCAGCGGCGGACGGGUGAGUAAUGCCUAGGAAUCUGCCUGGUAGUGGGGGAUAACGUCCGGAAACGGGCGCUAAUACCGCAUACGUCCUGAGGGAGAAAGUGGGGGAUCUUCGGACCCCACGCUAUCAGAUGAGCCUAGGUCGGAUUAGCUAGUUGGUGGGGUAAAGGCCUACCAAGGCGACGAUCCGUAACUGGUCUGAGAGGAUGAUCAGUCACACUGGAACUGAGACACGGUCCAGACUCCUACGGGAGGCAGCAGUGGGGAAUAUUGGACAAUGGGCGAAAGCCUGAUCCAGCCAUGCCGCGUGUGUGAAGAAGGUCUUCGGAUUGUAAAGCACUUUAAGUUGGGAGGAAGGGCAGUAAGUUAAUACCGUGCUGUUUUGACGUUACCAACAGAAUAAGCACCGGCUAACUUCGUG
rnacentral:rRNA from 1 species